CCUCUCAUGGCGGAGUGGUUAACGCGCCCCAACUAGAGAUCGGGGAGUCGUGAGUUCGAUUCUCACUGAGAAGA
rfam:Aedes aegypti strain Liverpool supercont1.95 genomic scaffold, whole genome shotgun sequence.